AACGCUGGCGGCAGGCUUAACACAUGCAAGUCGAGCGGGCGUAGCAAUACGUCAGCGGCAGACGGGUGAGUAACGCGUGGGAACGUACCUUUUGGUUCGGAACAACACAGGGAAACUUGUGCUAAUACCGGAUAAGCCCUUACGGGGAAAGAUUUAUCGCCGAAAGAUCGGCCCGCGUCUGAUUAGCUAGUUGGUGAGGUAAUGGCUCACCAAGGCGACGAUCAGUAGCUGGUCUGAGAGGAUGAUCAGCCACAUUGGGACUGAGACACGGCCCAAACUCCUACGGGAGGCAGCAGUGGGGAAUAUUGGACAAUGGGCGCAAGCCUGAUCCAGCCAUGCCGCGUGAGUGAUGAAGGCCCUAGGGUUGUAAAGCUCUUUUGUGCGGGAAGAUAAUGACGGUACCGCAAGAAUAAGCCCCGGCUAACUUCGUGCCAGCAGCCGCGGUAAUACGAAGGGGGCUAGCGUUGCUCGGAAUCACUGGGCGUAAAGGGUGCGUAGGCGGGUCUUUAAGUCAGGGGUGAAAUCCUGGAGCUCAACUCCNGAACUGCCUUUGAUACUGAAGAUCUUGAGUUCGGGAGAGGNGAGUGGAACUGCGAGUGNAGAGGUGAAAUUCGUAGAUAUUCNCAAGAACACCAGUGGCGAAGGCGGCUCACUGGCCCGAUACUGAC
rnacentral:rRNA from 1 species